UGAGUUAUCUUUACUUUCAGUUUUGUUCUAUUCGAGAACUAUACUCUGAGACUUGUAUAUUUUUAUUCGAAUUCUGUAUUUAGAGGUUUGUACAUGCGACAACCAAAUUUUGGGUAGUGUUGAGUCUUAAUUAAAGUCUUCCGCUUAUUUAUUAUCUUUUAUUCUCGUAUUUCUACUUCUCUAUCGUUGUGGUUGGGUUAGGCUGACGUGUCCGGUGGGAAAUGGACAUGUGCCAUCACAUCCGGAUUUGGGGUGUGACAAUUAGGAAGAUGGGGAUGCUGAUUGAAGAGGUUUUUAAUCGAAGAGGAAAUCGAGUAAGAAGCUUGUGUAAUAUCUUCUAUACACGGCUUCUUCUUUUUACCACGCAAUACUUGCAAUUUGUUUGCUUUUUAUUUUCGGGGGUUAAAGAUGACUCUAGAGCAGCUACUUGUAUAGCUCAAUAGUUUUAUCUACAUUUUACUUUGAUGCUGCUUAGUCCUAGCUCAGUAGCUUCUUGUUUCUGUUGCUACUAACUAAAGAUGCAGAGAGCCAGAGACAUAGUAUGGAAGUUCAGGUGCAAAUGAAACAAGGAGAAGGUUUGGACUGAAUUAUUUUCCACUCUCUUGGGUAGUUGUUAACCAAGAUCACCACGUAUGAACUAUAUGAUUUUUUAUGAUUUCUAUAAUGUGUCCAUGUCUAAUGUAUUUUGAGCUUUGACAGUUGUUAUUGAAAUAUUUUAAAAAUUAUUAAAAUUAUUUAACAUAAUAAUUAAUAAAAUUACUUUAUUUGAAGUCACA
rnacentral:lncRNA from 1 species